rnacentral:tRNA from 1 species
AGCGGGGUGGAGCAGUGGAAGCUCGCCGGCCCCAUAAACCGGAGGUCGUUGGUUCGAAUCCAACCCCCGCUACCA